UAGGGAAUCUUGGACAAUGGGCGAAAGCCUGAUCCAGCCAUGCCGCGUGAGUGAUGAAGGCCUUAGGGUUGUAAAGCUCUUUCGCCAGGGAAGAUAAUGACGGUACCUGGAUAAGAAGCCCCGGCUAACUUCGUGCCAGCAGCCGCGGUAAUACGAAGGGGGCUAGCGUUGUCCGGAAUUACUGGGCGUAAAGCGCACGUAGGCGGCUUUCCAAGUUGGAGGUGAAAUCCCCGGGCUUAACCCGGGAACUGCCUCCAAAACUGAAAGGCUAGAGUCCGAGAGAGGUGAGUGGAAUUUCCAGUGUAGAGGUGAAAUCCGUAGAUAUUGGAAAGAACACCAGUGGCGAAGGCGGCUCACUGGCUCGGUACUGACGCUGAGGUGCGACAGCGUGGGGAGCAAACA
rnacentral:rRNA from 1 species